UACGAAGGGGGCUAGCGUUGUUCGGAAUUACUGGGCGUAAAGGGCGCGUAGGCGGUGUGUCAAGUCAGGCGUGAAAGCCCCGGGCUCAACCUGGGAACAGCGCUUGAGACUGGCACGCUCGAGUUCGGGAGAGGAUGGUGGAAUUCCCAGUGUAGAGGUGAAAUUCGUAGAUAUUGGGAAGAACACCGAUGGCGAAGGCAGCCCCCUGGGCUAACACUGACGCUCAGGCACGAAAGCGUGGGGAGCAAACAGG
rnacentral:rRNA from 1 species